GUCCAUCCUACCAAACCGACCCUGCUGUCGUGUAUGAUGAUGCCCAUUCAAGCAGUUACUCCUCACUCCGGGCUUCGAAAGAAGAAUGCAAUUCAUUUUACUGUUUUUGGUUUACAACCAAGAGAAUUAGCCUAUUCAUCUGGGAUUUUGGCGCUCUCCGAACGAUGACAAGGGUGGAAUUUCGCAAUUACCAUUAUGCGGCAAGACAUGUCAUUGACUUCGAAGUAUCAGUAUCACGAUAUUCUGGAAUAAACGUAACUUGGACCAAUGUUCUUCGGGUGGAGAAUCUGGAAAAGCCAAGCACUAUUGAACCAAUUCGACACUACAGCUUUAAACCCAUCAUUGGAAGACAAAUUAGAUUUACAGCGUCGAGGUCCCUUGCAUCCGGAGCCGCAAUUAAUUUCUUCAGAGUAUACUAAGUAACCAGGUUCAUUUCUUCUCCUAAAUGAAUAAAAUGUUGCAAUAAUAAA